UGAAAUAAUAUGGGCAAUUAUUACAUACUUUUUUAAAAAAAGUCUAAGUCUCAGAUUCUAAAAACAUGAAUCACAUUUCUGAUGUUUACUAGCUUGGUAACCUUCGCCAAUGAAUCAAGAAUGACAAGCUGUGCUAUGAACAGCAGAGGGAUCCAGGCCAAGGCCCUGGGGCCUAAGGCAUGGUGGAGGUGGAAGAAAUUAUUUCACCAUCAAGGGCUAAGCAAGCCAGGAAAGAUCUGCCUAAGAGGAUUUGAUUCUGGUCAACCAGCCAGAGAACAUAGAGCAUAUGAAAGGGCAAAAAAGAGCAACUUGGAGGGAGGGAGGUUGGGGAGGCGGGGAAUAAGAUGGCCCCAAGCCAGGAUGGGGGAAGUGCCCAGAUCUGAAACCUAUGGUAGAAGAGAGUUUGGGAGCUCAUUUAAGGAAGUUCCUUUUUCAGUAUGAACAAAGAUGGUUACUGGAUUGUGAACUCCCCAAGGUUUGGAAUUUCAUCUUAUCUAAACUGUAUAUAUCCCCAGUAUCUCAUACAGCAUUCUAUAUAUUAUAGGUGCUUAAUUUUUUAACUUGAAUUAAAUUAAAGUAGUUUCUCAGGCCAUGGCCAAUGAACAAGUCAGGGUCACUGUAGAAUGAUGGAGCUAGAAGGGUGAAGGAUGAAAGGAUCUAAGAUCUAGACUCCGACAUACCUAGGUGAGGGCUGGAGAAGUAACAACCAAGCCUGUUAAAAUCAGGGAAGAGAAACAGAACUUAGUUAAUAUCUAAACCAAAACAGAGUAGAAGGUUAAUGGAAGGCAGAUAAGAAUAGGUUGAAUAUUCUGUAUUUGGUGCAGAAG